AGGCAGCAGUAGGGAAUCUUCCGCAAUGGACGAAAGUCUGACGGAGCAACGCCGCGUGAGUGAUGAAGGUUUUCGGAUCGUAAAGCUCUGUUGUUAGGGAAGAACAAGUACCGUUCGAAUAGGGCGGUACCUUGACGGUACCUAACCAGAAAGCCACGGCUAACUACGUGCCAGCAGCCGCGGUAAUACGUAGGUGGCAAGCGUUGUCCGGAAUUAUUGGGCGUAAAGGGCUCGCAGGCGGUUUCUUAAGUCUGAUGUGAAAGCCCCCGGCUCAACCGGGGAGGGUCAUUGGAAACUGGGGAACUUGAGUGCAGAAGAGGAGAGUGGAAUUCCACGUGUAGCGGUGAAAUGCGUAGAGAUGUGGAGGAACACCAGUGGCGAAGGCGACUCUCUGGUCUGUAACUGACGCUGAGGAGCGAAAGCGUGGGGAGCGAACAGGAUUAGAUACCCUGGUAGUCCACGCCGUAAACGAUGAAAGGUAAGUGUUAGGGGGUUUCCGCCCCUUAGUGCUGCAGCUAACGCAUAAGCAUCCCGCCCUGGGAGGCCCCUUUUUUCCCCCG
rnacentral:rRNA from 1 species